UGCUCCCCACCCCUAGGCCCUAGCCCGACCGGGAAGGUUGAGUUCCCUAUCAGUGAGUCCACAGAGGACCCCAGAAUGCCAGGAGCCCUUGCUGAGGGGCGUGCCCUAUGCUCAGGGGGACAGGGAUGGCAGAUAACCAAAAAGGCUGAGCCCCAGGCGUUCCCCCGGAGCUGAGCCUGUUUUCUCCCUGCGCCCCCCAUCUCCCCCCCCCCAAAAAAAAACAGAACCCGGAGUCCGCCUAGGACAUCCUCUUCCAAUCGUGGCGCUCGAAACUGCCUCCGCCCGGUGGAUUCCUCAUCCUUGAGCCCACAGCCAAGUAAAAGCAAUUACAGUUUGGAAUCCCAGGAGACAAGCAAAUGAUUUCGCUUAUGGAAAGAACUGCCUAAAGAAGAGUUCCCUAAAGGUUAGAGAACAAGGGGGCCGCCUUGGAGGCUGAGAGACGGGCGAGCGGGGACGGAGGGCAUGUGGCUAGAGAGUGGUCCACGGAAGCCGCCACGCAUUGUCAGAGAAGAGGGGAGGAGCGACAGCGAAGACAAGCGCAGAGGACUAGCAGGCGAUCGCGGAGGCUGCCAAGUGAUGGGAGUCAGAGGAGGGGAGAAGCGCGCACCCCACGGGCAGCUGGCCGGGCGGCAGGCUCCUCCUUUUGCAGCCUUUCACCCCUGGCUUCCCCCGGCGCUUGCAGACUGCACCAAGACACACACUGCGCUGGGGGCGCUCGCGGGCAUGGCAUGGGCGGGGUGCGGCAGGAACCAAAGAGCCCUGUGCCCCACACCGCGCAGGGCGUGCUGCACACCUGGCACCCGGGACUCACCAUCUGUUCAGAGCUGCCUCCUCGGCCCAGAGGUGUGGCCUGCGGACAGAUAAGAGUACCUCAUGGCAGCACGACUCCACAUCAACUGCCACUUCAACUGCCAAUCAGAGUUGUGAGUGCCCUACUGUAUGUCUCUGCUCAGUUUUAGAGCUUCCAGUUGAAGGUCUCAGUAACUGCAUCAUCUGUUCUACUCUGCAAGCUGCAAACGAAUACUGUGUAUGCUGUAAGAUAAAAUCAUACAUAAGGCAGAGGCAAAUUAGCCUUUGUAAAGAGGCAAAUUUGGGGACCAAGAGGAGGGUGGUGUCUGUUCAAGUAACUAGAAGUUCAUGAUUUUUUUUUUUCUUACUAGUCCCCGAAGCAUCAAACUCCUCAGGCUGUUUGUCCCAUACUCACAGCAUACAGAUAAAACGAAAAAUAAUUUCAAGUCGGGCGCGGUGUAUCACACCCCUAAUCUCAGCACUUUGGUUGAGGCAAGAGGAUUGCCACAAGUUGAAGGCCAGCCUGGGCUUACAGAGCCAGACUUCGUCAAAUGAAUUACAUAUGUCUGUAAACGCUGUUCCAAAUAAUAGCAGCAGUUAAGGUGGACUGGAAGACUGACAUCUGGGUGCUGAGAUCUCAGACACAUGAAGAGAGGUGGCAGCUGUUGACAGCAACAAGAAGGGGAAAGUGUGACCCAGCCGGGUGGCCUGAGUUCCAACGGAAAGGGAAUUUUCACCAGAGGAAAGAGACUUCACAUCUGGAAGUACCAAAAUGGAGUGGGUGGUGAGUGUAGAGUUUGAGCUGAGAGCUGACUGGAAAGGGAUUUCUGGCAGAGGACUUAGACAACCACGGAACGACUUUUGGAAGAAGAAGGUGCUCAUGUUGCCUAACACUGCCGUCUGAAAGGUUUUUGUUUUUUAAACAAUAAAUAACUUUGGGGGAAGGUAUUUUUAUUGUAAAGAUAUCUUCUCAUUUUAAAUUUGUUAACAAAUUCCCGCACUUGGGAUAUAGUGUCUCUCUCUGAGUUUGAGGCCACUCUGGUCUACAGAGUUAGUUCUAGGCCAGUCAGGACUAUAUAGUGAGCCCCCCUCCCUCUCUAUCUCUCUCUUUCUCUCUUUCUGUCUUCCUCCCUCCCUCUCCCUCUCUCUCUCUCUCUCUUACUCCUCCCCACAAAACACACACACAAAAUUGAUAAUGAAAAUACACUAUAAUUUAAUAAACUUGGUUUUCAUUUGGCAUGAUGAAAAGAUUCUGGUAUCUGAUGUAUGGCAAUUGCACAACAUUGUGAGUGUUAUAAAGGACAUCAAAUUGCAGUCUGAAAAGUGGUCAAAGUGAGGCUUCCUCUGCUCGGCUUGCUGUGAUAAAUGCAUAACUGAGUGGUUUAGAAAUGAUGGAAAUGUGGGGCUGGGACGAUGGCCGAGUUGGUAAAGCGCUUGCCACACAAGCAUUCCCAGAACACACGGGGAAAAAGCCUUGGCAAAGCCAGGCAUGCUUGUUAUCUCAGUGCCAGUGAGUUGGAGACAGGCAGAUCACAGAGCAUAGUGACUAGGCUACCUAGCCUACUUGCUGAGUUUCAGGCCAGUUAGAGACCCUGUCUGUAAACAAAAAAAGAAAACCAAACAACAACAACCACAACAAAAAAAGGAGGAUAGUGGCCAAAGUUGAUCCUUGGCUUCAGCAUACACAAAUACGUGUUCAUGUUCACCCAAAUACAAAACACGUAUGCACACACAAACACAAUCACCCCAA